UAGGCCAUGAAGACAACACAGGUAUCCAGAAAAUGUGCAAUAUGUGGAGCAUGACACGCAGCGGGGAUGCCAGGGCCAACAUUUCUCAGAGGUGCCGAUUUCAGACCAAACACUGAAUAUUGGAGCAGCCAAAAGAGACGCACAAUGUGUUCAGAGACACAAACCAGGACAGCCUCAAGCGUUUACACAAAGGUAGUCUUCAGCUGCGGAGUGGAGGUGUGUUUGUUUUCACACCGCUCCAAAGAAUAUAAGCAGAGACGCUAUCUCCAUUCCCAUCUGAUCUGGCCAGGUAGAGCAGCAGCAGCAUUGGCAAGCGAAGACUCCUUUGGACUGAGUGGAGUCGAGGUAUUUGCCUCUCAGGCAUCUGAAGUAAGACUUUGAGAGGAGUACAAUCAGCCCUGCGCUCAUGGGAUUCAAAGUCUUUUCUUUGCAAAAUUAAAAAAAUAUUUAUUUAUUAAAUAAUAAUAAAUAAAUCAAUCAAUCUGGUAGAUCUCUCCUAAAGAAAUCCUCU